rnacentral:rRNA from 1 species
UACGGAGGGUGCAAGCAUUAAUCGGAUUUAUUGGGCGUAAAGGGCGCGUAGGCGGGUUUGUAAGUCAGAUGUGAAAUUCCGAAGCUCAACUUCGGAGCUGCAUUUGAAACUACAAGUCUAGAGGAGUGGCGGAGAAAAUGGAAUUCCACGUGUAGCGGUGAAAUGCGUAGAUAUGUGGAAGAACACCUGUGGCGAAAGCGGUUUUCUAGCUUAUUCCUGACGCUGAGGCGCGAGAGCAAGGGGAG